rnacentral:rRNA from 1 species
AGAGUUUGAUCCUGGCUCAGCCUGAACGCUGGCGGCGUGGCUAAGACAUGCAAGUCGCACGGGCGUAGCAAUACGUCAGUGGCGAACGGGUGAGUAAUGAAUCGCUAACGUACCCCGGACUCUGGGAUAGCCAGCCGAAAGGCUGGGUAAUACCAGAUGAUAUAUUCCUGUCGCCUGGCAGGAAUCUCAAAGGUCCGCCGGUCUGGGAGCGGGCGAUUUCGUAUCAGCUAGUUGGUGAGGUAACGGCUCACCAAGGCGACGACGCGUAGCCGGACUGAGAGGUUGGCCGGCCACAUUGGGACUGAGACACUGCCCAGACUCCUACGGGGGGCUGCAGUAACGAAUCUUCCGCAAUGCACGAAAGUGUGACGGAGCGACGCCGCGUGUAGGACGAAGUCCUUCGGGAUGUAAACUACUGUCAGGGGUUAGAAAGUUCUGAUCAACCCCAGAGGAAGAGGCGGCUAACUCUGUGCCAGCAGCCGCGGUAAUACAGAGGCCUCAAGCGUUAGGCGGAAUCACUGGGCUUAAAACGUGUGUAGGCGGAUCCGUAAGUACCUUGUGAAAUCCCACCGCUCAACGGUGGAACUGCUCGGUAUACUGCGGGUCUUGAGCCACUUAGGGGUCAGCGGAACAAAUGGUGGAGCGGUGAAAUGCGUAGAUAUCAUUUGGAACGCCAAUGGUGAAAACAGCUGACUGGGAGUGUGCUGACGCUGAGACACGAAAGCCAGGGGAGCAAACGGGAUUAGAUACCCCGGUAGUCCUGGCCGUAAACGAUGUCGACUAGAUCGUAGUACCUCUGACGGUAUUACGGUCGAAGCAA